CCGAGUUAGGGUGCUCUUAGCGCCCGACCUCCCACCCUUUGCUUACUUGACCUGACGUUGCUUCGGCAGGCCCGCCCCCCGUGGCCGCCGGGGGCUUCACGCCCCGGGCCCGCGCCUGCCGAAUGCCAUAUCAAAAACUCUUGCUAAGACGUGUCUUCUGAGUAUAAAAAACAAAAUUGAAUCA
rnacentral:misc_RNA from 1 species